GACGUAGGGGGCGAGCGUUGUCCGGAUUUAUUGGGCGUAAAGGGCGCGUAGGCGGGCCCGCAAGUCAGGGGUGAAAGCCCCCAGCUCAACUGGGGAAGUGCCCCUGAUACUUCGGGCCUCGAGGGGAGGUAGGGGCGUGCGGAACUUCCGGUGGAGCGGUGAAAUGCGUAGAUAUCGGAAGGAACACCGGUGGCGAAAGCGGCGCGCG
rnacentral:rRNA from 1 species